rnacentral:rRNA from 1 species
CGACGGUGGAGGUAACACGUAUGCAACCUGCCUGCCACAGCCGGAUAAUCGGGAGAAAUUCCGUCUAAUACGGCAUAAUGCAUCGACGGGACAUCCUGUUGGUGCCAAAGGUUGAUUCCGGUGGCGGAUGGGCAUGCGUCGCAUUAGUUAGUUGGCGGUGUAACGGACCACCAAGACGACGAUGCGUAGGGGUUCUGAGAGGAAGGUCCCCCACACUGGUACUGAGACACGGACCAGACUCCUACGGGAGGCAGCAG